rnacentral:rRNA from 1 species
GGCGAACGCUGGCGGCAAGCUUAACACAUGCAAGUCGAACGGGCACCUUCGGGUGUCAGUGGCAGACGGGUGAGUAACACGUGGGAACGUGCCCUUCGGUUCGGAAUAACUCAGGGAAACUUGAGCUAAUACCGGAUACGCCCUUAUGGGGAAAGGUUUACCGCCGAAGGAUCGGCCCGCGUCUGAUUAGCUUGUUGGUGGGGUAACGGCCUACCAAGGCGACGAUCAGUAGCUGGUCUGAGAGGAUGAUCAGCCACACUGGGACUGAGACACGGCCCAGACUCCUACGGGUGGCUGCAGUCGAGAAUAUUCCCCAAUGGACGAAAGUCUGAGGGAGCGACGCCGCGUGCAGGAUGAAGGGCUUCGGCUUGUAAACUGCUUUUUUCAGGGAAGAAUUCGUGACGGUACCUGAAGAAUAAGAGGUUGCUAACUCUGUGCCAGCAGCCGCCGUAAUAC